AUGAACGCUGGCGGCGUGCCUAAUACAUGCAAGUCGAGCGAACGGACGAGAAGCUUGCUUCUCUGAUGUUAGCGGCGGACGGGUGAGUAACACGUUGAUAACCUACCUAUAAGACUGGGAUAACUUCGGGAAACCGUAGCUAAUACCGGAUAAUAUUUUGAACCGCAUGGUUCAAAAGUGAAAGACGGUCUUGCUGUCACUUAUAGAUGGAUCCGCGCUGCAUUAGCUAGUUGGUAAGGUAACGGCUUACCAAGGCAACGAUGCAUAGCCGACCUGAGAGGGUGAUCGGCCACACUGGAACUGAGACACGGUCCAGACUCCUACGGGAGGCAGCAGUAGGGAAUCUUCCGCAAUGGGCGAAAGCCUGACGGAGCAACGCCGCGUGAGUGAUGAAGGUCUUCGGAUCGUAAAACUCUGUUAUUAGGGAAGAACAUAUGUGUAAGUAACUGUGCACAUCUUGACGGUACCUAAUCAGAAAGCCACGGCUAACUACGUG
rnacentral:rRNA from 1 species